GGGACUAAGCCAUGCGAGUCAACGUAGAAAUACGUGGCAAACGGCUCAGUAACACGUAGUCAACAUGCCCAGGGGACGUGGAUAACCUCGGGAAACUGAGGAUAAACCACGAUAGGCCAUGAUUUCUGGAAUGGUUCAUGGCCGAAAUCUAUAUGGCCCCUGGAUUGGACUGCGGCCGAUCAGGCUGCUGGUGAGGUAAUGGCCCACCAAACCUGUAACCGGUACGGGCUCUGAGAGGAGGAGCCCGGAGAUGGGCACUGAGACAAGGGCCCAGGCCCUAUGGGGCGCAGCAGGCGCGAAAUCUCUGCAAUAGGCGAAAGCUUGACAGGGUUACUCUGAGUGAUUCCCGCUAAGGGGAUCUUUUGGCACCUUUAAAAAUGGUGCAGAAUAAGGGGUGGGCAAGUCUGGUGUCAGCCGCCGCGGUAAUACCAGCACCCCGAG
rnacentral:rRNA from 1 species